rnacentral:rRNA from 1 species
UACGUAGGGGGCAAGCGUUGUCCGGAUUUAUUGGGCGUAAAGCGCACGCAGGCGGUCUCUUAAGUUUCGAGUGACAGGUGGUGGCUCAACUGCCACAGGCCUUGGAAAACUGGGAGACUUGAGGACUUCAGAGGGAUGCGGAAUUCCUGGUGUAAUGGUGAAAUGUGUUGAUAUCAGGAGGAACACCCAUGGCGAAGGCAGCAAACUGGGCAUCAUCUGACGCUGGAGGCGACGAAAGCGUGGGGGAGCAAACAGG